GGCACACAAACCGUUUUUCUUUGCAUUCUUUUUUACCUUCCCCUGAUUGGGAGGCGUUUCGUCGUGUGACAAAGAAUGCAAAGACGAACAGCAAAGCCUCCUGAAACAGGGGGCUUUUUUUAU
rnacentral:ncRNA from 1 species